rnacentral:piRNA from 1 species
UAAUUAGGAAUUACAGCCCAAC